rnacentral:lncRNA from 1 species
GGCGUUUUGUUUUUGCCUUUUAGGAAACAUCAAAAACACUCUCAGCACCUCUAUUAUUUGCCUCUUUCGGAUAAGUGUCCUCAAUAACCUUCGAGCUGGCUCUGAAAUUUACAAGAGGAAAAGCUAAAAUAGCAUUAAGAGGGGAGGGCAUCGAGGCAGGGGAAGAAAGGAACUGCGAAGAGCGAGGCUCUCACCUAAAUGGCUCACAGAGGGGGAACUCACGGAAAUAGCAGUUUAUUUUUUCUAAUUCCUGGACACUGCUGAUCUCGAUUCUUCAGAGUCACCAUAGAGCAUAUUUAUAAAAAUUAGAUUUUGAAGUCUGGUCUCUUCAAUUCAUGUAGUUAAUUUCCUAAUAAACAUAUACUGCUCAUCCUAGGUAACAUCCUUUAGUAAAAGACUUAACUUUGUACUUAGGUUUGCCUUUAUGUGCAAGAAUAAUUUCACUGAUAUUAGAUGAGUAAUUCUGUUGGAUGUAAUUCUGAGUCUAGAGUUAGUUUAGUGCCUUUAGGCCUCAAAUUUGCUGAUAUUAGGAGUUCAUUAAGUCAGCUUAAAGAAAUCAGUGGUUAUUAUUAAACAACUUACUUUGCGGUUAAAAUUGUCAAAUACAUAUAUGGCUUAGGGAGCCAAAAUUAAUUUUUAUAUUUACUGUAUUAAUCUUUAAAAAUCUGGGGGGCAGUAAACAAAUUUUUCAAGCAGUGGAGUCAGCAUGACAAAAAUAAUCUUGUUUUUAUUUUAGAUUCAGAUUUCAUUACUGCACUCAAACGACUACAACUGGGCUUGGC